CCUUCCCGUGUCCCUCCCGUGUCCAUCCCAUGUCCUUCCCAUGUCCCAUGUAGAUCCCGUGUCCAUCCCAUGUUGCGUGUAGAUCCCAUGUCCUUUCCAUGUCCAUCCUGUGUCCUUCCCAUGUCCCAUGUAGAUUCCGUGUCCAUCCUGUGUCCAUCCCGUGUAGAUCCCAUGUCCCUCCCAUGUCCAACCCAUGUCCCAUGUAGAUCCCAU
rnacentral:lncRNA from 1 species